rnacentral:piRNA from 1 species
UGCUCUAAUUAAGGGAACGUUGUGAACA